rnacentral:lncRNA from 1 species
CAUUAAUUAAAUAUUUUUGGAUGUGUGCAGAAGCGGUAAGGAGACAGAGAAAGGGGAUUUAAACCCGUGGAGACAGCGGCAGGAAAGAUUGGCAGAAACUCUCCCGCACAACCUGUUUCCUUGCAAAAGGAGGCGCUGGCUGCGGCACCCUUGCGUGGCUUGUGGGUGUGGUCAGGCCAGGUUAGGAUGUGGGGAUGGUGCCAGGGAGCUGACCCUGUUCCAGGAGCAGAGUCCAUGCCCCUUCCUCCGGAGCCCUCGAAAGCUGGGACUGCAGCACUGCUCACAGGAAACCCUCCUCCUCCACUCUGUGACAGUUAUACACAACACAGACCAUUUCCAGGUGUUUUGUGGUUACCCAAAGCUGCUUCUCCUGUUCCACCUAAGGAACAUCCAGUCUUCUGAUUGCUUGUUUUCUGUGCUUAUGGUACUUACGGUGUUACAUAUCUUGGAGUUUAUGAGGAAAUCAAGCAGCGCUUGCUCAGCACCUGAUAGUGCAGAUGCUAAGCUGGAGUCAUCAUUUCUGCCAUCCACUUUGUGCUCACCGUGAAACUUGGAGGAAAAUGUAAGUGCUUCUAUUUUCACAGGCGAAGAGAUACAUGUACAGGAGAAGGUGAGUCCCAUUGUCAGUAAAUACGGUAUCAGAACUUGGAUCCAGACUUUUUUGACCACACAAUUGUGAUCCUUUCUUUGGAGGUGCCGGGCCGGGGUCUGCCUGUUUUGACAGAUAUGUUGCGAAUAAGAAAUAUGGUAGAAAGCCACCAAGAUCUGGUUUUCAGCACAGAAUAUUCCCCAUUUUUGGAGAUUCACAACACAUAUCGGAGUGAUACAUUUGGUGGGGAAGCCAGACCAUCAAACCUCCACUUACCUCACACCUCAUUCUCCCUUUGUUCUCUUCCUCGGAACAUUCUGGAUGGACAAAGAGACCCAGGAAAUAAAUGCCUCCUAGUGAGAAAAGAAUGCCUCUUACCUGAAUUUGCAAAAACCAAAACCUGACAGAAAUUGCUUUGAAAGCAUGGGGGACUAAGGACCUUAACGUUUCACGUGGAAAUUAAUUAUGGAGGUCCUGGUAUUAUUAAUCUGAGUAAUACAAAACACAUCAAGUAGAAAGUACACAUUUCCUGUGUUGUCUUUAACUUUAUUUUAAUGUAAAAGUUUACAUAAGGGGUUUUACAGGUGGACUUGGGAUUUCAGUUGUCCAACACUUUGCUUUUUCCAUAAAGGCUCAAUCAGACUUUCCAAUUACAGGCAUUUUCGUUAUCACUAUUCUUGAAAUACAGGGAUUACUACUGUUAUGUAUCUGCUUCUUUAGGUGUUUCCUUGGCAGAAAGACCCCAUAAAUAGUGGAGCAGAGGAGAUACCUGUGUUCCUGACUGGCGUGGGAAUCCAGCCACAUGGCGCUGAUGCCCACUCCUGUCAAGAUGCAACCCCUCUGCCCUUUGCAACCUUGCCCAGAGCCAAGUGUGGGAUCUGUCAACAUAUGGCUCAGUUGGACUCAAGUUUCCUUUUUUAACACUGGAAGCAAUUUUAAUGAAUACAUUAAUACUGGGGACAAGAUGGAAAGGAAGGGAUGUUUGAAUUAACUAGGGAAUAAAAUAUCAAGUGUAUCUUGCCCUCCUGAUGGCAAUGUACAGUUCUUCUCAUUGAAAUUGAAACAAGAAAAUGCCAAAAUGGAACAUAUUGUUAGACUCCUUAAACUGAACGUUGCAAAAAUUGUUUGGUAUAAAAGAAAUCACAGGAUAAACAAAGUACAUGUUCUUCCUGGGACACUAUGAUCUGACGUUGGGCAAUUUAGAACGUUUUAAUGGAAUAUAAAUAUGCAUGAAAAUGUUAUGUAGCAGAGUGAAAGAUCAGGGUCAAUUACAAUAUCAUAAUUAUACACUCAAGCACGCAAACACGCACAUAAAUACGUAUACUCACGUACAUGUGGAUUUUCCCUCUCAUGCUUCCUUAACCUAGAGCUCAAGGGUCAAGCCAAGUUGUCUGAGUUCUUACUGAGACACGAGGAACAAUAUGAGAGAAGGAGCGAGGCAGCACUCAUAUGCUUCUUUCUUUUUCUUACUCCUCUUCCCUUUCCCUGUUCUCCCGGCCCGGGCUGGGCAGGCUGAACCUUGGAGGAGGCUCACCCAGGAAGGAGUGGAGGAAGCACAAAGACAGUAUUAGCCUGGUGAGGCAGACGGUGCAGGGUGGCUAACUGGGUGUGAAGCUGCACCCACCAAUCUUGGCCACAGCCACUCCUAGUUCAUGUGUGGUCCCAAGGAGAGCAGCAACAGGUUUCUUGUGUUUUUGCUGCAUUUCAUUCGUGGUUCUACCUCUAUUUCUAAUCUCCAAUAUCUAUUCCUCCCUUCUAGUCACCCUCAUGUACUUUCAGUGCUCUUUAAGGAAUUCUGUGCCUGCCUCACCCCCACUUCAGCUGGAACAUCGCCCUACCUGAUCCAGACACCAUCCUGGCAUCCUGGGGUCGCAUAGGUCCCCUAAUUUAUUUUAGUAUUUGACUAUGUAAUCUCUCUUUGAGGGACACUUACACAGUCAUGCAUCACUCAAUGAUGGGGGUACAUUCUGAGAAGUGUAUCCUUAGGUGAUUUUGUUGUUCUGUGAACACCAUGGCGUUUACUCACACAAACCUACUACCUGGUACAGCCUACUACACCCCUGGGCUCCCUGAUAUGGCGUAUUGCUCCCAGGCUACAAACCUGUACAGCAUGCCAUUGUACAGAAUACUGUAGGCACUUAUAAUACAAUGGUAAUGAUUUGUGGAUGUAAACAUAUCUAAAUAUAGAGAAGGAAACUUUCAGCUCCAUUAUAAUCUUAUGGGACCACCAUCUUAUAUGUAGUCAAUAGUUGACUGAAAUAUCAUUAUGUGGUGCAUGACUGUAUUUUAUUUUAUUUUAUUUUAUUUUAUAUUUUAUUUUAUUUUUGAGACAGAAUCUUGCUCUGUCAUUCAGGCUGGAGUGCGGUGGCAUGAUCUAAGCUCACUGCACCCUCUGCCUCCCAGGUUCAAGCAAUUCUCCAGGCUCAGCCUCCCGAUUAGCUGGGAUUAAAGGUGUGUGCCACCAUGCUUGGCUGAUUUUUGUAUUUUUAGUGGAG